GACGAACGCUGGCGGCGUGCCUAAUACAUGCAAGUCGAGCGGACUUAAAAAGCUGCUUUUUAAGUUAGCGGCGGACGGGUGAGUAACACGUGGGCAACCUGCCUGUAAGACUGGGAUAACUUCGGGAAACCGGAGCUAAUACCGGAUAAUCCUUUCCUACUCAUGUAGGAAAGCUGAAAGACGGUUUACGCUGUCACUUACAGAUGGGCCCGCGGCGCAUUAGCUAGUUGGUGAGGUAACGGCUCACCAAGGCGACGAUCCGUAGCCGACCUGAGAGGGUGAUCGGCCACACUGGGACUGAGACAAGGCCCAGACUCCUACGGGAGGCAGCAGUAGGGAAUCUUCCGCAAUGGACGAAAGUCUGACGGAGCAACGCCGCGUGAGUGAUGAAGGUUUUCGGAUCGUAAAACUCUGUUGUUAGGGAAGAACAAGUACGAGAGUAACUGCUCGUACCUUGACGGUACCUAACCAGAAAGCCACGGCUAACUACGUGCCAGCAGCCGCGGUAA
rnacentral:rRNA from 1 species